AGAUAAACAAGAUGAGAAGACAAGGAAGCGCUGGAAUCCGUACAGCCUUCCCACCUGUCCAGACCCAUUCAAGAAAAUCUGAUGCAGAGUGACUGUGUGUGAUUUCAGGUUUCUGACAUCAGCCGAGUUAAGAAGACCAAGAACCAGGUAGAAAAAGACAAGACACUGUGGGUCAUAAAAGUUUAAAUGCCCAUCUGAACAGGUUAUUGCCAACAAAUGUUCUGAUAUGUGAAUGAAAGUACAGCACGGCGGGAGACUCAUGUGACAAAAACAUUUUAGACUUCACUCAUCCAGGCACUUGCCCCUGCUGUCUUAACCUGGAUGUUACCUUGGCAGACUCGUUGAAUUUUUCCUGCUCUGGUCUGCUGUGCAACUCGUAGAGCACCACUCCAUCUGGACCCUUUGUUGAGGAAGAGGUUUUGCCAUCUCCUGCAGGGCUGCCACGACUGCCCUUCACCGCCUCCAGCUGGGUGAGCAGACGCCUGCAGGCAGGAGGGAGAGGGAAACAGACUGAUUAUACAGUGUAGUCGAAGCAGUUAUCAGCCCCAUGUGCUGUCUGUCUUUCUCCCCAAUGGGUCUAAACUGCAGCUUGAAGCAGCUCACUUUGAACACGCUUGACAGUCGUAUGUAAAUAAGGAAGCUGUCCUGUCACACUGCCUUCAUCUCACCUGGCAAGCGCUCCAUCUGGAUCAGCCAGGUUGAUGUGAGCCUGUGGUCCCAGCAACGAAUCCAGAUGGGCAGAUACCAGCUGCUGUUUGAGCUGCGCUGCAUGCUGAGCUAGUACCACCGGGGUGAGGCGCUCCUCUGCAUUGCUGUCCUUUGCAGCAGCCUAGAAAGUGAAAUUGGUGAUGAAAUUAAAGAGUCCAUCAAUGAAAAUAAUUUUUAUGUCAGGUUACAACAACUACACAACAAGGUCAUUGUUUUAUUUCACUAAAUCCUGAUCUUACGUCCUGGCUAACUACAUUUUGAUCUGUUUUGGAGUAACAGGGCAGCUUAAACUGGAGCUCAAAACUGAUAUGUCACCAACUUAAUUGAUUUAGAACUUUAACUUCUGUUUAUAGCAACUCUUACAGGCAAUGUUGUGUUCCUCUUUUCUUUAUAUACAUUUUUACUAUAUUUAGUGGAAGUGUUUUUGAUACAAUUAAUGUUGAUAAACAGUUAACACUUCUAUAGAAGAGUUUUUCAAAGAAGUUGCAUAAAAUAUUUGGGGUUUCUAAAUAAAGCUAAAUGACUAAAUAUGAACCAAUCUGAUGACCAAAUAACCUAGAUAGUAGAUUAAACAGAAAAAUAUGUGCUAAUGUGCUCAUAUGUUUGUUUAUAAAAUGGAGGAGCAAAAAGGGUUUUUGAAUCGAAAGCUUUAUUUAUUCUGUCAAUAUAUGGUUUUUCGAUUGAAAUGUGUGAACCCUGUUUUUAACUAUUAAAAAUGUUGAUCGCGUCCCACCACUAGAAAGAAUACUUGCAGCCUCUUAAGACAGCUCAAACUGUAAUUGAUUAUUGGGGGAACAGAGUAGCUUUAGUGUGUUUUAUUAGUAGCUGCCUAAUGGAAACUUCGUUAGUAAGUGACAAUAGAGAUAAAUUUUUUGCUAAGCUCAAUUACAGGGUCAGCUUGAAGCUUCAUUACAUCCAUAUCCAAACCUUUAAAUACCAUUAGAUAGAA